GCGACCAUGGCGGAACUGGCAGACGCGCACGCUUGAGGGGCGUGUGGGAGACCGUGAGGGUUCGAUUCCCUCUGGUCGCACCA
rnacentral:tRNA from 1 species